CAUCCGAGUUGUAAUUUAGAGAAGCGUCUUCCGCGCUGGACCGUGCAUAAGUCUCCUGGAAUGGAGCGUCAUAGAGGGUGAGAAUCCCGUCUUUGGCACGGACCCCCAGGGCUUCUGUGAUGCGCUCUCAAAGAGUCGAGUUGUUUGGGAAUGCAGCUCAAAAUGGGUGGUGAACUCCAUCUAAAGCUAAAUAUUGGCGAGAGACCGAUAGCGAACAAGUACCGUGAGGGAAAGAUGAAAAGCACUUUGGAAAGAGAGUGAAACAGUACGUGAAAUUGUUGAAAGGGAAACGCUUGAAGUCAGUCGCGUCGACCGAGACUCAGCCUCGCCUCGGCUUGGUGUACUUCUCGGCUGACGGGUCAGCAUCAAUUUCGAUCCUUGGAUAAUGGCAAGGGAAAGGUAGCACCUUUAUAGGUGUGUUAUAGUCCUCUGUCGGAUGCAAGGGUCGGGAUUGAGGAACUCAGCACGCACCUUUUAGGUGUCGGGGCCUCGGCCUACGUUACGUGCUUAGGAUGCUGGCAUAAUGGCUUUAAACGACCCGUCUUGAAACACGGACCAAGGAGUCUAACAUGCACGCGAGUGUUCGGGUGGAAAACCCGUGCGCGUAAUGAAAGUAAAAGUUGGGACCUCUGUCGUGGAGGGCACCGACGCCCGGACCAGACCUUCUGUGACGGCUCCGCGGUAGAGCGUGUAUGUUGGGACCCGAAAGAUGGUGAACUAUGCCUGAAUAGGGUGAAGCCAGAGGAAACUCUGGUGGAGGCUCGUAGCGAUUCUGACGUGCAAAUCGAUCGUCAAAUUUGGGUAUAGGGGCGAAAGAC
rnacentral:rRNA from 1 species